rnacentral:rRNA from 1 species
UACGAAGGGGGCGAGCGUUGUUCGGAAUUACUGGGCGUAAAGGGCGCGCAGGCGGCUCUGAAAGUCAGAUGUGAAAGCCCCGGGCUUAACCUGGGAACUGCAUUUGAUACUCUAGAGCUUGAGUACGGGAGAGGAGAGUGGAAUUCCCAGUGUAGAGGUGAAAUUCGUAGAUAUUGGGAAGAACACCAGUGGCGAAGGCGGCUCUCUGGACCGUAACUGACGCUGAGGCGCGAAAGCGUGGGGAGCAAACAGG